rnacentral:rRNA from 1 species
AGGAAUAUUGGUCAAUGGGCGAGAGCCUGAACCAGCCAAGUAGCGUGAAGGAUGACUGCCCUAUGGGUUGUAAACUUCUUUUAUAAAGGAAUAAAGUCGGGUAUGGAUACCCGUUUGCAUGUACUUUAUGAAUAAGGAUCGGCUAACUCCGUGCCAGCAGCCGCGGUAAUACGGAGGAUCCGAGCGUUAUCCGGAUUUAUUGGGUUUAAAGGGAGCGUAGAUGGAUGUUUAAGUCAGUUGUGAAAGUUUGCGGCUCAACCGUAAAAUUGCAGUUGAUACUGGAUAUCUUGAGUGCAGUUGAGGCAGGCGGAAUUCGUGGUGUAGCGGUGAAAUGCUUAGAUAUCACGAAGAACUCCGAUUGCGAAGGCAGCCUGCUAAGCUGCAACUGACAUUGAGGCUCGAAAGUGUGGGUAUCAAACAGGAUUAGAUACCCUGGUAGUCCACACGGUAAACGAUGAAUACUCGCUGUUUGCGAUAUACGGCAAGCGGCCAAGCGAAAGCGUUAAGUAUUCCACCUGGGGAGUACGCCGGCAACGGUGAAACUCAAAGGAAUUGACGGGGGCCCGCACAAGCGGAGGAACAUGUGGUUUAAUUCGAUGAUACGCGAGGAACCUUACCCGGGCUUAAAUUGCAGAUGAAUUACGGUGAAAGCCGUAAGCCGCAAGGCAUCUGUGAAGGUGCUGCAUGGUUGUCGUCAGCUCGUGCCGUGAGGUGUCGGCUUAAGUGCCAUAACGAGCGCAACCCUUGUUGUCAGUUACUAACAGGUUUUGCUGAGGACUCUGACAAGACUGCCAUCGUAAGAUGUGAGGAAGGUGGGGAUGACGUCAAAUCAGCACGGCCCUUACGUCCGGGGCUACACACGUGUUACAAUGGGGGGUACAGAGGGCCGCUACCACGCGAGUGGAUGCCAAUCCCCAAAACCUCUCUCAGUUCGGACUGGAGUCUGCAACCCGACUCCACGAAGCUGGAUUCGCUAGUAAUCGCGCAUCAGCCACGGCGCGGUGAAUACGUUCCCG